ACGUAGGGAGCAAGCGUUGUCCGGAAUUACUGGGUGUAAAGGGUGCGUAGGCGGUUUGUUAAGUCAGAUGUGAAAUACCCGGGCUCAACCCGGGGGGUGCAUCUGAAACUGGCAGACUUGAGUGCAGGAGAGGAAAGCGGAAUUCCUAGUGUAGCGGUGAAAUGCGUAGAUAUUAGGAGGAACACCAGUGGCGAAGGCGGCUUUCUGGACUGUAACUGACGCUGAGGCACGAAAGCGUGGGGAGCAAACAG
rnacentral:rRNA from 1 species